UACGAAGGGGGCUAGCGUUGUUCGGAAUUACUGGGCGUAAAGGGCGCGUAGGCGGCGUGUCAAGUCAGGCGUGAAAGCCCCGGGCUCAACCUGGGAACCGCGCUUGAGACUGGCAUGCUCGAGUUCGGGAGAGGAUGGUGGAAUUCCCAGUGUAGAGGUGAAAUUCGUAGAUAUUGGGAAGAACACCGAUGGCGAAGGCAGCCAUCUGGACCGACACUGACGCUGAGGCGCGAAAGCGUGGGGAGCAAACAGGAUUAGAUACCCUGGUAGUCCACGCCGUAAACGAUGAGUGCUAGACGUUGGGGCCCUUAGGGCUUCGGUGUCGCAGCUAACGCAUUAAGCACUCCGCCUGGGGAGUACGGCCGCAAGGUUAAA
rnacentral:rRNA from 1 species